rnacentral:rRNA from 1 species
UUAUUGGAGAGUUUGAUCCUGGCUCAGGACGAACGCUGGCGGCGUGCUUAACACAUGCAAGUCGAGCGGUAAGGCCCUUCGGGGUACACGAGCGGCGAACGGGUGAGUAACACGUGGGUAACCUGCCCUGUACUCUGGGAUAAGCCUGGGAAACUAGGUCUAAUACCGGAUACGACCUGCUACCGCAUGGUGGUGGGUGGAAAGUUCCGGCGGUAUGGGAUGGACCCGCGGCCUAUCAGCUUGUUGGUGGGGUGAUGGCCUACCAAGGCGACGACGGGUAGCCGGCCUG